UUUAUAAUAAUAUCUGUAAUAUUCCAAUAUCUAUAAUUACACAAGUUUGUCGGUAUUUUUACGGAAAUUAUUCUUUACUCCGGAAUUGGUUUUUUAUACUAUCUUUAAUGUAUCAGAAACGAAAUGCGGUCAGUGACCUCGCACGUUCUUUUCAAUCUUUCAAUUUUGAGAAUACACAAUUUUCAAUCCUGGUGUUUGCAUAUAUUAUUUAAUGAUUUGGAAAUUUGGAAUAAUGAUUCGAAAAGGUUGCUGUAGGCCAUUAGCAUUGACCGUGCAUAUAUGCAGAUAAUUUCUCAUGGUGGUUUAUAGUUGGAUAUUUUAAAUUUCAUACAUGG